CGCAUUCUCUGUGAAGUGCGUGUGUAAUAACGCAAUUCGUUAUUAUUCACUCCUUCUAAACAACGCACGUUUUUAGAAAUGGGGUAAAGUCUACAAACCUUAGUCCACUCUGUUCGUAACAGAUUAUAGUUUUGGGAACAGAAAACUGUAUUGAGAUCAAAUGUUUUUAUCGAUGAGAAAAUGUGCAGAAUUUCGGCUAAAAUCUAUCUCGUUCCAUCUUCUCCCACUGACGGUCACUGGGCUUCUUCUAACUACCAUAUUUGGAAGUAACAGUGCCCCCACCCUCACAAUCCUGCCCCCCUCUAGUGAGGAGCUGUCCAGUACAACAACAGCCACACUGACGUGUCUGGCCAACAAGGGCUUCCCCUCAGACUGGACCAUGAGCUGGAAAGUGGACGGGACCAGCCAGAAGCAGGAGGCCAGUCCCGGGGUCCUGGAGAAGGACGCCCUGUACAGCUGGAGCAGCACUCUGACUCUCACUGGCCAGGAGUGGACCAAGGCAGGAGAGGUGACCUGUGAAGCCCAGAAGAAUUCCCAGAGUCCAGACACCAAGACCCUGAGGAGGGCUGACUGUUCUGGGUAGGACCCCUCAGUCACACACCCCUGUGGAGAGAGGCUGCUGGUUCCUCUGCUUUCACUCUGUUCUGAGAUCAGAUGUUCUCUGUCUUAUUGAUCACUGACAUGUAGACUAACAGGGGACUUUGCUUGAGUUCAUGUGUCAAUCCUCUCUGUAGACUGAGGUUGUAUCUAUCAGGUAUGAAGGGAAGACCCAGAUGCAGACCACUUUGAAUAAACAAUAGUUUAAUGUUCCAACAGGGGCAAGCAGUAGACAGGUCAAUGCAGGCAGGGGUCAGAAAACCAGAGGUUGGGCAACGGUACCGGACAGCAGGCAGACUCAGGGUCUGGGUAAGGCAGAGGACGGUAAUCCAGAGGGGGGGCAGAGGUACUGGUCAGCAGGCAGGCUCAGGUAGAGUGGUCAGGCAGGCGGGCUCAGAGUCAGGACAGGCAAGGGUCAAAACCGGGAGGGAAAGAAAAGAGAGA